AAUAUGUCUUUACUUAACUGGUCGUGGCCACUGCUCUCUGUUGGCUGUUUGUGCUUAGAGACAGACACCAAGGGCUGGCAUUUGCAUGGGUAUAGCAGAGGAGCAGUACUGGUGGACCAGGGACAAAACUGUGGGCUUUUCAGGAGGCAGUGCAUGCCACACAGGUCCCUUGUACUUGAGAUCCUGCUUCUGCUAUAAAAAUUCUAGAAGCUUCUCUUACAACAGUUUCUGCCACUGGGGCUUUUUCCAUACAGUCUUGGGGCUGGAAUCUCCUUCCUGAGUGGGCUGUCACUUCAGCUGAGGCUCCAGCAAGUUGGUUCAAAUAUAGAGGCCCCUGCACUCCUUGGCUUGUGGCACAUAUAGUCCAUCUUUGAAGCCAGCCGCACGGCAUCUCUGACACCUCCUCAGGCUCCGAGUAAAGGACCCUUGUGACUGGACCAGGACCACCUGCCUAGCUCCUCAACUCAGUUCCUUAAGGUCAUCUUGUCUCCAAAUUCUCAUCUGCCCUGUGAGUUACAUGUUGCAUGUAGGCUAGUUCUCAAAUACACAUGUAGCCAUCUGAGAAGAUGGGAUUAUUGCCUGCCACAUAUAUUAUUUUUCUGAAGAACAUUUUGAACAAUUCAUUUUGUGUUCAUACCGAGGAAAGAAUUGGUCAGUACAUCUUCUUGCUCUUUUGACUUAGUCCUGUUUUAAGGAAACAAAAGCUAUAGUUUAACUGGUGCUCACUAUUCCAUAAUAUGAAUAGAACGAUACUAUUUGUCUACUCCACUGUUAAGGAAAAUUUUCAUUUUUUGUUUAAGACUCCUAAGACCAUCCCAGAGACAAAUCAUCUUGUAAAUAUCCCCUGAUUUAUAUGAACACAUUUAAAAAUGUUUUUUAAUGGCUGGGCAGUGGUGGUGCACACCUUUAAUCCCAGCACCCAGGAGGCAGAGGCAGGUGGAUCUCUGAGUUCAAGACCAGCCUAGUUUAGAGAGUGAGUUCUAGGACACUCGGGGCUACACAGAGAAAUCCUGUCUCCAAAAGAGUUCUCUCUCUCUCUCUCUCUCUCUCUCUCUCUCUCUCUCUCUCUCUCUCUCUCUCUCUCUCUGUGUGUGUUUAUCUCUGGAGGCCAGAAGAAGCGUCAGACUCUCUAGAAUUGGAGAUAAAGAUGAUUUCGGGCUACCCAACAUAGGUGCUGCAAACUGAACUCAGGUCCUCUGCAAGAGCUCUCUUAACUGCUGAGCAUUUCUUUACUGAAACUGAAAUUGAAGAUGUUUCUUAUGUUUCAGGAUCAUCAUUAUUUGUUCUUCAGUAGCUGUCAGGUUAGUUUGCUUUUUUUUUUCUUACCUGCUUCUUUUACUCUGGGUUCUUUUGUGACCCUCUCUCAAUCUUUAUUCUGUCAUUUCAUUUUAGUCUCAGUGUGGAUUUCUUUGCAUUUGUGUGAUUCUGAGAAUAGCUUCAAACAAAUCCAGUAGUCCAUCUUUGACUACCAGGGACACAUUGCAAGAGUCACUGUGGAUGCUGAAACCAUGAGGAAUCCUGAAAUUGAAAUGUACUACAAUUUUUUUCAUAGCAUAUGAUGAAGUUUAAUCUUUAAAUUAGGCAAGAAGCUUUUAUAAUAAUAGCUAGCUGUAGGAUAAUCCUAACAACCUGCUAUAAUAAAGUUAUGUAAAUACAGUCUUUCUCUUUCAGAAUCUUAGGCUAUAGUCAUUUUUGUUUUGAGGAUGGGAGAUGACCCAACGCCUGAACAAUGAGAUGAAGUGAGGGGAAGAUGUAGACUUUGUAACAUAGUGUUAGGUUUCCAUGUAAGUAGUCCUUGAACACAAACACUGCAAUAUCUGGGACUUACUACAUGGACCAGGUUGGCUUCUAACUCACAGAAAUACACCUGCUUCUGCUAGGAUUAAAGUGUGGCCACCACACCCAGCAUCUGUGGAUCCUUUUAAUGUUUGAAUGUGGCAAAAGACAGGGGAAUGAUGUCCUGUGUUUACAUGGCAGACAAGCAGUGAGUCUUCUCCCACAGGCCCCUUUCACAGGAACACCCAUCAUCCAUAAUGACAAAGCAUUCACAACCUAAAGGCCCUUCUUACUACAACCCGGUUCCCAAUAGGAUCACACUGGAGAUUAAAUGUUUUACCCAUGAAUGGGGCAGGAGCAUUCUAGAUUGUAACCACAGGGUAGUUGAGGAUGGGAUUAGGGGUAAAUUAAACUGCCAGAAGGCUCACAGCUUUGCCUUCCGGACCUUGAGAUUUUGAUGUAAAGUCUGAUUCUAAUAACUUUUUUUUUUUGCCAUUUUUGUUGCAUUUUACAGAGGCAGAUAUUUAGCCUCUUAUGCUUUGUUAUUUCUCCCUGUUGGUUUUUGUUUAUACAUAUCUUAAUGUCCUCCAGAGCAUUCCUUAAGAAUGGCAAUGUAUGCUCUUAACUGAUUUCAGCUUAUCACAAAUGAAUCUUAUCAUCUAUUACCUCAUAUAUAACUGAAUAAGAUUGAAAUAGAUUUUUUUGCCUACACCCCACUUUUAGCUAUUUUUAUUAGAAUGUGUCAUAAACCUCAUGAUUCAGAUUUUUCUUUUAGAUUUAAAUAGCCAGAUGUCCUUUAAAUAAGUCAGACAUUGGCCUUCCUAUUCAUUGGCAUAUUUACUGCUGUUCCAGACAUUCAGUCUUUGAAUACCAUUUUUUCCCCUAAGAAACGGAAGAAAUACUAGAACUUAAAAGUAAGACCUAUUUUUUUGAAGUAUAGCAUCCCAAUAACUAAUUUUAUCAACCUUUAUGUAUGUGAAGGUGCUUAUAUUUCAUUUUCAUAUUUUGCAGAUUAUCUUUCUUAGAAUAAAUAACUUGAUUAAAAAAAAACAACCUCUCAGCCUGUGAUAGUUUGAAUGUAAUUGUCCCCCAUAAUUUCAUAGCAAGGUGUGGUUAGUUGGAGUGGAUAUGAUCUUGUUAGCAGAAGUGUGUCACUGUGUGGGUGGGUUUUAAGGUUUCCUAUGCUCGGGAUUCUGCCCAGUGUUUUAGUCAUCUUCCUGUUGCCUGCAAGAUGUAGGACUCUCAGCUACUCUUCUAGCACCAUGUCUGUCUGCACACCACCAUGAUCCCCAAUGAUAAUGGACUGAACCUCUGAAACUGAGAGAGAACAGUGUUAAACCCAGUUGCAGAGAGGGAGGAGUGAUGAGCAAAGAGAUCAAGGCUGGGCUGGUGAAACCCACAGAAACAGCUGACCUGAACAAGGGGGAGUGCAUGGACCCCAGACUGAUGUCUAGGAGGCCAGCAUGCGACUGAUCCAGACCCCUGAACGUGGAUGUCAGUGAGGAGGCCUCUGCCCAAGACCAUCUGUUGUUUGUAAACAGAAACUCCAAGUAGUAAUCCCCAUUUGGAUGCUUCAGUAAAAGAGACUAAGAAGUGUUGUCCAUCUUAUUCAAGGCCAUUAUAAAAGCCACGGAUUGUUCCGAAAGUCUUCAACUUUUGGAGAAAGAUUUUGUCUAUGAUGAAGGAAUUAAAUAAUUGAGAAAAAUCUGAAAGAAAUUCUCUAUGUGAAAACUUUCAGACCCACCUUGACUCAUUUCCUGUCUGUCUGUCUGACUUGGAAGUUCCAACAUGCUCAUGGGAGUCAGAUGGGAGUCCACGAACUGAGAAUAAAAUUGAGGAUGAAAGAGACAGGAUUUAGCAAUAAAAGACCCAAAUAAACACAAGACCAAAGAUCUCUGACAAAUAAAAGCCUUCAUCCAGCAGCUGGUGGAAGUAGAAGCAGACACCCACAACUAAUCACCGAACUGAACUGGAACCCAGAUGCAGAGAAGGACCAGUGAAGAGCAAAGGGGUCCAGACCAGGCUGGUGAAACCCACUGAAAUAGCUGACCUGAACAUCAGGGAAAUCUUGCUCCCCAGACUGAUAGCUGGAAUACCAGCAUGGGACUGAUCCAGACCCCAGGAAGAUGGGUUUCUGUGAGGAAACCUCAGAAAUCUACGGGACCUCUGUAGGAGUUCAGUACUUAUCCCUAGCAUAGUUCAGGACUCUAGGCCAUUGGAAGAGGCUGCUCAUAUUCGAGGUAGUCUUUUCGACUCAGUGAUACCUUCCUGAGAAGUCACUUACAAGUAUUCCAAAAGCUUCCCUCACAGAGACACACAGCACCAACUCAAAUGUUCACCAGGGAACCAAGGGUGAAGAAAUGUGGCCAGUGGAUACAACAGAAUGGUGUUCAGUCAUAAAAAGGAUGACAUUCUGACAGAGCUUUUUGAUGAAGGUCUAGUCCAAUGGGAGAUAGAAGAAAGAUCUGCUGCCUUCUACCCUCUUCUAUGCUGCUUACUCAAACAGAGGGAAAGUCACAACCAGUCUGCAUUGCCUGAUAUUAGAGCGUGCUCUUACAUGAGAAAUACAAUUGUAUCUUAAUCUAAUAUUAUUUUAUUUACAAGUAUUUUGUUUAUGUUGUUCACAUUUCCAUGGCUGACUCCAUAGCUGACAAAACAGUUUUUGCUGUAGGGGUGACUCUAAGGAGAAUGGUUACUUUUUAAGUGUGUUUAGUAGACUUCCAUCUGAUUACUCAUAACUUUUCAUCUACUCAUUUUUUCUUUGAUGGGCUUUAACCUGGUGCUGACAUCCUUUAUCCUGCAGCUGUUUAAUAUGAAUGUUUCCAUUUUGUUUUACUCUAACUAGCUCUUGUCAAGGGGUUAAGAUUGGGCAAUCCCUAGCCAAACUGGCUUCCUUAAGAGUAUGUGUAUGUCAGGUGGAGCCUUUGCGUUGGCCUGGGUGGAAAAGGCAUCUUUGUAAAACAUGUGGUGUCUACUUAAAAGCUGAGCUCCUGGUUAGUAUUUACUGGGAAAUUCAAAACAAUUUCCCAGUUCAGUUAGCCAGCAUAACAUUGCACAGAUCUGGUUUUCUGCCUGGAACAUCCAGUACCAAGCCGUGCAUUUCCCUCAAAUUGAAAUUCCAAUCUCAGUAUGGUCUCCACAAUAUCCCUCUUAUUUUCUGCUAGUAUUCCAAAACCCCUCCCUGCCUAUGCUGGGUCCAGGCUUUCUCUUUGUUCCUCUCUUCAGAAUUUAGGUAACCAUGGUGAAUUCACCUGCUGCUCAGGUGGAGGGUGGUGCUUUUAGCCUGAAAUCCAACUGGGUUUGACCCGUAGGCUUCAAAUCCUCAUUUUACUCCCAUUGCCAGUAUCAAGUACAACAUUUUAAAGUAUUGACUUAGGUGACCCAACCCCACUGUUGAAAGGAAAAUGUCCUGGAAAGCAAGAGCAAUUUCACAGUAAUGCAUUAAAGGGAACACUUAGUCCCCAGCACUGUUUCCAAUAUUCUUUGUGUCCUUUUCCAUCACCUAUACUAACACCAAGGUUCAUCUGGCUUCAUCCUAGAGGGAUUCUGCAUUCUUCUCCUGGGUGAAUCUCAUAUUCUCCCCCAUGUCUUUUCUUACUGUUUCACAAAAGCACAAGAAAGGUUCCUCCAAAGAGCAUACAGAGUAGCAAAGAGGUCAAAAUGGAACAAAACACAAUCCCUUGUUGAAGUUAGAAGAGAAGACUGUGAGUAUUUAUAAAUUGAUUUGUAAUAACAGACCAGGCUGGACUUCCUACAUAGCUAAGGAUAGCCCUGCAUUCCUGAUCUUCCUGUUUCCACCUCCCAAGUGCUGGGGUUACAGUUGUGCACUGCCACUCCUGGAUGAGUUCACACGUUGUACCUUAACACAGAGACAGAUGGAUAUUCAUCUUUUUUUCUUUUAAAAUUUCUUGUAUAAUGGUGUAUUUGAUUGACACGAGUGCUUGUGAGUUUGAGGACACCAUCAGGUUCUGUGAUCCCCAAAAUCACCCAUAGCUGAUACUUGUUGAUUUUGUAGUCACUACACUUUUAUAUACAAGAGCAAGACAAAGGUGUAAAUGUUGACAGUAGUCAUAGUAAGUACUUUACACCAGAUGUGAAAUUCGUGGAUGAAAAAGGAUGGGCCCAGGAAAUUCACCGAAGUGGUGGAAUUCUUUUUCUUUAACACAUAAUAUUUUGGGGAGAAAAUGGACUAUUUCUUGGGGAUGAGCUUCAGUGAUCGGGAGUAGAUGAAAAAUAAUAAUGGGAAAAUAAUGGAAACCACUGAAAUACUUCUCAGUUCCUCAUCACACUCAGCAAAAGAUGGCAAAGGACUGUCCCAGAACCCAGGGCAAAGGAUCCUGAAGAUGUGUGGUGAAGGGAACCAUGGGCCAGUCAUAGUUUUGUCAUAAGCAAUUUUGAAGGUGGUUGCUUGAUUGUUGUCUCUCCACCAGAAGCUAGUCAAUGGGUUACCAUGAAACAGAGGUAGAGCCAAGUGAGUGGUUCUGAGAGUCCUUUCAAAGAGAUGGACAUUUCUUAGACAAAGCUUCAGCAGUAUGAUUUGCAAAUUACCUUCUAAAAAUAUCAACUAGGCUCAAUAAAAUAUGAACUGCAAUCAAUAAGGCACAGAGGAAUACAUGAUAAAUGGACAGAUAAACGAACUAGGAGGUAUGUUAACUGUUAGAAAGGAAAAUGUAAGCAUAAUGAAAAAUAGACAGUCCUGUUCUCACCAAGUGUCCCUGCAUGCAUGGGUACAGACUGAAGCUCAUAUGUGAAUCCCUGACCUCAAAUAGGAUCAUGUUGAGUGAUGGGCAACAGAAAAGUGGGCCUCAAGGCUGAUUCUCUUACAUGAAGGCAAAUAAACACCUGGACUCUGGGCAUAGUGAGAAAGUGACAUCUGCAAACCAGGAAAAGGCUUCACCAGAAACCAACCUUGGAGACUCCUUGACCUUGAACUGUAGCCUUCAGAAUGAUGAGAAAGAAAAUGAACCUUUGUUUAGGCCCCAGUCAGCAUAACACUAGAGAGUAAAACACACUGAAUGGGUGUGUAAAGCUGGGACCAGAGUGAUGGAAGAGGGGCAGUAUAGCAGUACCUGGGAACCUCCUUCGGAAUGUGAAGAUCUAGAGAAAGAAACAGGAAGGUGGAAGAUUUGGGACAUGGAGAUUUUGAGUAUAUCUUUUUAUAAGAAAAUGACACCAAAAAUAGUAUCUAGACAAUAUUUACAAAUAUAAAUUUUAAUGCUUAGAUGAUGAAACUGCAACGAUUGCUCAUAAAAUGACUCCUUAUAAGAAAACAUAAUCAAUUAUGAGACUAACAACUUCUUUUAGUCCCACACUAUUGAGCAGGUCUAAGAUUAAAGAAUCUUUAAACCCUGGUUUCCAAGUGUGUUUUGGACAACUCAAGGCACCAGGACAAACUCCCAGGGCACUGUGGAAGUAUUUUACACUUGGGGGAGAUUCAGGGACACUGGACAUGCUUUAGGAGCCAUGGGCUUUGCUUUUCAAGGUAGUGCACAAUUUGUAUGUUAGAUAGUGUUUCGUUCCUUUUUAUGAUGUCAUAUCAUCGUGAGACUGGAUUCCUGGUGGAUGCUUUAAUUAAAGAAAAGCACAUUCUGCAUGACCGUUAAUGUAGAGCAACAAAUGAGAUGCUGGAGUGAGCAAGAAUGAGACAUGCAAUAUUAUUGUGUAAUUAUGCUUGUUGGGUAACUUAAGGGUGAUUGUCAAGCAGUAUUAAAUUAUUUAAACAUUUCGUCAGCUGGGGAAGUUUAGAGACCCGUAAGUAAGUAUGAAGAUACCUGAAGAGGUUUGUGAUAUGUUCUCUCCAUUCUUGAAUAUGUGUGUGUGUGUGUGUGUGUGUGUGUGUGUGUGUGUGUGUGUGUGUGUGUGUGUGUGUGUAAAGUUGAAUGUAAUUUGUAAUUGUUUUGGUUUUUUAGAGGUCAUUAUGAAUUUUAUUUUAUUUAUUUUUCUAUUUUUUAUUUAAAUUAGAAACAAGCUUUUCUUACACGUCAAUCCCAGUUCCCUCUCCCUCCCCUCCUUCCUUGCCCCCCACUAGCCCCCUAUCCCAUCCCCUUUCUGCUCCCCAGGGAGGGUGAGGCCUUUCAUGGGGGAUCUUCAAAGUCUGUCAUAUCAUUUGGAACAGGGCCUAGAUCCUUCCCCAUGUGUCUAGGCUCAGAGAGUAUCACUCAAUGUGUAAUGGGCUCCCAAAGUCCAUUUGUAUGCUAUGGAUAAAUAUUGAUCUACUACCAGAGGCCCCAUAGAUUAUCUCCUCACUGACACCCACGUUCAGGGGGCUCUGGAUCAGUCCUUUGCUGGUUUUUUGGGGUCCAUGAGCUCCACCUUAUUCAGUUUAGCUAUUUCUGUGGAUUUCACCAGCCUGGUCUUGACCCCUUUGCUCAUCACUCCUCCCUCUCUGCAACUGGAUUCCAGGAGUUCAGUUCAGUGUUUAGCUGUGGGUGUCUGUUUCUGCUUCUAUCAGUUACUGGAUGAAGGCUCUAGGGUGGCAUAUAAGGUAGUCAUUAGUCUCAUUAUCAGAGAAGGGCAUUUAAGGUAGCCUCUCCACUAUUGCUUAGAUUGUUAGUUGGUGUCAUCCUUGUAGAUCUCUGGACAUUUCCCUAGUACCAGAUUUCUCUUUAAACCCAUAAUGGAUCCCUCUAUUAUGGUAUCUCCUAUGUUGGUCUCCUCUGUUCUUCCCCCAAUUCAACCUUCCUGCUCUCUUAUGUCCUCCUCUCCCCUCCUCUUCUCCCUUUCUCUUUCUACUAGCUCCCUCUCCCAUCCCCACCAUGCUCUCAAAUUGCUCAGGAGCCCUUGUCCCUUUCCCCUUCUCCAGGGGACCAUAUAUCUCUCUCUUAGGGUCCUCCUUGUUUCCCAGCUGCUCUGGCGGUGUGGAUUGUAGACUGAUAAUUCUUUGUUCUAUGUCUAAAAUCCAUAUAUGAGUGCAUACAUGCCAUGUUUGUCUUUUUGUGACUGGGUUAUCUCACUCAGAAUGGUUUCUUCUAGUUCUAUCCAUUUUCCUGAAAAUUUCAAGAUUCCAUUGUUUUUUUUCCCACUGAGUAGUACUCCAUUUUAUAAAUGUACCACAUUUUCUCUAUCCAUUCUUCAGUUGAGGGGCAUCUAGGUUGCUUCCAGGUUCUGGCUAUUACAAAUAAUGCUGCUAUGAACAUAGUUGAACAGAUGUCCUGGUUUAUGAAUGUGCAUCUUUUGGGUAUAUGCCUAAGAGUGGAAUUGCUGGAUCUUGUGGUAGAUUGAUUGCCAUUUUAUUGAGGAGUCGCCAUACUGAUUUCCAAAGUGGCUGUACAAGUUGUCACUUCCACCAGCAGUGGAGGAGUGUUCCCCUUUCUCCACAUCCUCUCCAGCAUAAAUUGCUGUUGAUGUUUUUGAUUCUAGCUAUUCUGACAGGAGUAAGAUGUAUCUCAGAGUUGUUUUGAUUUGCAUUUCCCUGAUGGCUGAGGAUGUUGAACACUUUCUUAAGUGUCUAUCAGCCAUUUUAGACUCUUCUAUUGAGAACUCUCUAUUUAGUUCUGUACCCCACUUUUUAAUUGGAUUAUUUGUUGUUUUGGAGACUAGCUUCUUGAGUUCUUUGUAAAAUUUGGAGAUCAGCCCCUGUUAGAUGUGGGGUUGGUGAAUAUCUUUUUGUUUUGUCUUGGUGACUAUGUCCUUUGCCUUACAGAAGCUUCUCAGUUUCAGGAGGUCCCAUUUAUUAAUUGUCGAUCUCAGUGUCUGUGCUACUGGUGUUAUGUUCAGGAAGUGGUCUCCUGUACCAAUUCGUUCAAGGGUACUUCCCACUUUCUCUUCUAAGAGAUUCAUUGUGGCUGGAUUUAUGUUGAGGUCUUUGAUCCAUUUGUGCAUGGCGAUAGAUAUGGAUCUAUCUGCAUUCUUCUACAUUCCAGCAUCCAGUUAUGCCAGCACCAUUUGUUGAAGAUGCUUUCUUUUUUUCCAUUGUAUAAUUUAAGCUUCUUUGUCAAAAAUCAGGUGUUCAUAGGUGUGUGGGUUAUCAGGGUUUUCAAUUUGAUUCCAUUGGUCUACCUGUUUAUUUUUGUGCUAAUACCAAGCUGUUUUCAGGACUAUAGCUCUAUAAUAGAGCUUGAAGUCAGGACUGGUGAUGCCUCUGGAAGUUCCUUUAUUGUACAGGGUUGUUUUGGCUAUCCUGGUGUUUUGUUUUCCCAUAUAAAUUUGAGUUUUGUUCUUUCAAGGUCUGUGAAGAAUUAUUUUGGAAAAAACUUAGUAUUUUUUAAAUGCAAGCUGACUGCAUUGCUUUUUCAGAC
ensembl:lncRNA